rnacentral:siRNA from 1 species
CAAUAUCUAAAGGAAUAAUCUA